UACGUAGGGUGCAAGCGUUGUCCGGAAUUAUUGGGCGUAAAGAGCUCGUAGGCGGUUUGUCGCGUCUGCUGUGAAAACCUAAGGCUCAACCUUGGGCUUGCAGUGGGUACGGGCAGACUAGAGUGCGGUAGGGGUGACUGGAAUUCCUGGUGUAGCGGUGGAAUGCGCAGAUAUCAGGAGGAACACCGAUGGCGAAGGCAGGUCACUGGGCCGCAACUGACGCUGGAGGAAGCGAAAGGCUAGGGGAGCAAACAGG
rnacentral:rRNA from 1 species